UAGGGAAUCUUCGGCAAUGGGGGGAACCCUGACGGAGCAACGCCGCGUGAGUGAUGAAGGUCUUCGGAUCGUAAAACUCUGUUAUUAGGGAAGAACAAAUGUGUAAGUAACUAUGUACAUCUUGACGGUACCUAAUCAGAAAGCCACGGCUAACUACGUGCCAGCAGCCGCGGUAAUACGUAGGUGGCAAGCGUUAUCCGGAUUUAUUGGGCGUAAAGCGAGCGCAGGCGGUUAGAUAAGUCUGAAGUUAAAGGCAGUGGCUCAACCAUUGUAGGCUUUGGAAACUGUUUAACUUGAGUGCAGAAGGGGAGAGUGGAAUUCCAUGUGUAGCGGUGAAAUGCGUAGAUAUAUGGAGGAACACCGGUGGCGAAAGCGGCUCUCUGGUCUGUAACUGACGCUGAGGCUCGAAAGCGUGGGGAGCGAACAGG
rnacentral:rRNA from 1 species